rnacentral:rRNA from 1 species
UACGUAGGGACCAAGCGUUGUUCGGAUUUACUGGGCGUAAAGGGCGCGUAGGCGGUGCGGUAAGUCACUUGUGAAAUCUCUGAGCUUAGCUCAGAACGGCCAAGUGAUACUGCAGUACUAGAGUGCAGAAGGGGCAAUCAGAAUUCUUGGUGUAGCGGUGAAAUGCGUAGAUAUCAAGAGGAAUACCUGAGGUGAAGACGGGUUGCUAGGCUGACACUGGACGCUGAGGCGCGAAAGCCAGGGGAGCAAACGGG